UUGAUCCCCCAUUAUUUCCCAAUUUGACAAGGUACAAUACGAAAUGUUCAUCACGCAAGCACCUCAUAGCUUCGGAAGAUAAGCCGAGCCCUACCAUACAGAACCUUUCUUAGUCAAUAGUUAGUUAGUUACCUUCAGGUUUGACAACACCACAGAACCGGACAUCGAACAUAUCCUUCAAGUAUCUAAAUAGAACAGGUAGGAUUUUCACAACCACCAAGAAAAAAUUCAUCCAGCUUUUGAAGAUAUGCUAUAAGAUAAAAUAGAUAGGGGUGGCAAAAUAUGACCCGACUUGCCAAUCCGAUCCGUGUUCAACCUGCCAUAAAUAGGUUUGGAUUUAGCCUAAACAGAUUCAUGUCGUAAACAGGUUGACCCGUUUAAACUGUUUAUUAAUUAGGUCGGACACAGAUUUUAGAUGUCUGACCCGUUUAACUCGUAUAACUUGUUUAACUGUUAGGCUGAUAGAUAAGGGCCACAACCCACAAGAUAAGGCCCAGGGCCGGCCCAACUCUCCGCCUCAGCUUGAUUUCACCGCCUCGGUCCGAUUUCAGCGCGAGGUCCACCAUCCGCAACUUUUCCUUAGAGUUAGGGUUUGUCCAAUGGUGCUGCCCGAGCUCUAUUCCCUCAGUAUCCCUCUCCCCUCUCCUCUCCUCCGGACUUCCGCCUCUGCCCUCUC
rnacentral:lncRNA from 1 species